UCCCCUCCUUCCAGCCAGUGGGUGGAACCGAGAGAGCCUCUCCAGGGAGCAGCGUACGCAGUCCAGAAGGCUGCAGUAUUUCCUCCAAGAAAAAAAAAAAAAAGGCUGCUUCAACCCCUGCUGCCAGCAAAGUUGCGAUUCCCUCUGCUGGCUAUCUGGAAUAGCAGAGCAGUUUUUGCAGCUAAGCUGCCGCCACCGCUGGAACUGAACCUGGAGAACUCAAACGCAGGCGGUGGAUUAUUUCUUAUCCCUCCCUCCAUCUACCCCACGCGAGAGAGCUGCCUUCUUUUCUGUUCUUGCCAAGUUCUGAGGGUCUUGCUAAAUGUCUUAGGGCCUCCCCAAAUUGCUGAGGCUGGCUUUGAAAUCAUGAUCCUCCUGCCUCAGCCUCCCAAGCCACUGGGAUUGCAUGUGUGUGCCACUAUGCCUGGCUGGACAUGCAGUUUUGAUGAAGUAUUCACAUCAAGGCUAAUGUCUGACAAAGUAGCUGAUGUAUCAUGGGCAUCCCAUAAAUAUGUGCAGGAUGAAUUGAUGGAUGGAUGGAUAUCUCAACAAUGGGAAAUGAAGAUGGUAAUCUUCCUCUUGCUUAACCUGCAUCACAACAGAAGUCAAGUAGGACCUAACCUGUGUGAGCAUCUCUCUCUAUGGUAGUCACCAAUUCCCAUGGUGAGAAUAUAGCUGAUGUAUCAAAGGCAUACCAUAAAUAUGUGCAGGAUGAACUAAUGGAUGGAUGGAUAUCUCAACAAUGGGAAAUGAAGAUGGUAAUCUUCCUCCUGCAUCACAACAAAAGUCAAGUAGGACCUAACCUGUACAAGCACCUCUAUGAUAGUCACCAAUUCGCAUGGCUCCAACAGUCUCCAGUUCUUUCCAGAGCCAUGGUGCAGAGUUGUAGGGGUAAGAUGGACAUAAAAUAAAAUGUGAAAGUACUCCCUGAAUUUGUGUGUACUGUGAAUACCUCAGUUUGUUUUUCUCAAGAGUUGUUAUCACCUAGCAUGUCAUAUUGUUUGUUACUAUUAUCUAUCUCCCCCGAUGAGACUGUCAGCUCACCAAGGGUAGAAAUGUCUAUUGCAUAUUUACUGCUAUAGCCCCAGUUCUUAGAACAAUACCUAGUACAUAGUAUAUACUAAAAAAUGAAUGAUUCACCAAAUAAAAACAAAUGAUUUUUAUUCUCUUCUGUAACUUAUCCCUAUUUUUCCUUUACUUUUAAAGCCAGAAAGAUGUAUAAAAAGGAAAAAAAAAUGUAUGAGAGUGCUCAUUUCCUUGUUCUUAUUCUUAGCCUGGGAAAUAAACUAAAUUUCUUCUGUAUUCAAAGUAAAGAACAACUAAAGAUGAACAUCUGUUUAAACUAUUGUUGAAUAAAAUGCCAAUAAAACAUAUCUAAGCUCUGCAGUUAUUUCCAUGGGUUUUCCCCACUCCCACUGACUUUGGUAUAGUUUCUGAUCAAUCAGGAUAGUGGGAGAUGACCCACUUUCAUAACAUCUGAAGCUAUUCAAUUUUUCUAUGAUACAAUUCCAUCAUGGGCCAAGUAGAAUGGUCCAGCAGAGAGAUGCUCUCACUUUCUCUCAAAAGGUUAUCCUUUUGGCUUUCUUUUGAGAUAGUGUUUCCUAGACAGGUGAAAAAUUGAAGCUUAUCUCUAAGGGCAAAGCUAUGUGAUGAAAACUUUUUCUCCCUUACCAAUCCUCCCACUCUUGAGCAAGGGGGAAACAAUUCCAAGGCUUAGACUUUCAGUUCUAAAAACUGUUAGUGAUUGCACAUGAACUUGAACCCUAGCUUUAAAUCUGCAUCGAAAGUGUUUUCUGAUCAGCUUAGGUAUAAACCAAUUGAAAAUUUUGGAUAACUUGCAAAAGAUGCCAGAGCAGGCUCUCUGAUGGUGGCAUGGAAAACCAAACCCACAAACAAAAGCAAUAAAUGAGAUUCGUUUUUGUGGCAGCUCUGAGCUUUAUUUAACAACGCAGCAAUUUCCUCUGUUAUAAAUAACUCAAAACUGAGCAAAGGCAUACCAACCAUAAAGGCGAAAAUGAAUCUGGUCAACAGAGAUUUGGGACCUACCUUUAAUCCUUUAAUAAUGGUCUAAAAAAUAAUUUAUCUCUAGAUGUUAUUUUGUAUCUGGUAAUUCAACCAAAGACAUCAUUUUAUCCUCAGCAGGGGCAGUAAUUUUUAAGCUAGCCUCUGUGGAUAGCUUUGUGUAAUUUAUAUAGUUUUUAAUUUUGGUAAUAGCAACUAGCUGGCUAAGGCAAUAAGCACUUUUUAACAUAGAAUAAAUAAAGAAAUCUCUCAUAUUUCAAUUAACUAACUGAACUAAAGCAUAACGAGGGUGGCUAUUUCAUUUCAUUUGGCUGUUGCUCAGAGAGUGUUCAUUAAAAAUAUUGCACUGUUAAUAUUUAUAAGGUUCACUCUAAUAUAAUUCAUAUUAUAAUGUUCACACUAAUACUGGAAAAUGAGGAAACACCAAUCUGUAAUAGAGUAAGCCAAUAUGCCAACUCAAAGUCUUGGUUUUAUCAAAUCAAUGGCAUUGUCUUUGGCUUUCUACUACUUGAAAUGUGCCAGGGAAGUAAUGGGUAAUCUUUGAAAAUUGUGUGGCAUACAACAGCAUGUGUAAUUGGUCCAUUUAUUGAAAAGUCUCUUAAAAUUAUCAAUAGUCUUUGUUUUUAUGUUUUAUAUCAAGAAUUAAAACAUAUGUGAACAAGAAAACAUCGUAAUUAAUAUCAGAUGUAUACCAUUGUAGAAAAUUGUAAGAGUUACUGAUAAACUAUUGACAGGUGUAAUUAAUAUAAUCUCUGCUUAGAAUAGAGCACAUAAUGAUUCUAUAUGAAAAUACCAUAUAGAUGUACUGGAGCAAAUAUAAGUUUCAGGAAGUAUAUGCAUAUUGUUUUAAGAAUCUCUGUGUGACAUAGAAAGAAUAUGUAAUUCUUACAAACAUUUGUGUGCACUAUAGUAUUUCAAAAUAAUUGUCAUUUUAUUUUUUUAACAUGUUUUUAAAUUGUAGACGAACACAAUACCUUUAUUUUAUUUAUUUAUUUAUUUUUAUGUGAUGCUGAGGAUCGAACCCAGUGCCUCUCACAUGUGAGGCGAGUGCUGUACCGCUGAGCCACAUCCCCAGCCCAGUAAUGAUCAUUUUAAAUAACCCAGUUUAGAACUCAUUUCAAAGAGAUUAAUUCAUGAUUUAAAAUUGUAUACUUCUUAAUAAAAAAACU